UACGUAGGUGGCAAGCGUUGUUCGGAAUUACUGGGCGUAAAGCGCGUGUAGGCGGCUCUUCAAGUCAGACGUGAAAGCCCCGGGCUUAACUCGGGAACUGCGUUUGAUACUGUCGAGCUAGAGUGUGGAAGGGGCGAUUGGAAUUCCGUGUGUAGCGGUGAAAUGCGUAGAUAUACGGAGGAACACCAGCGGCGAAGGCGGAUCGCUGGGCCAACACUGACGCUGAGACGCGAAAGCUAGGGGAGCAAACGGG
rnacentral:rRNA from 1 species